AGAGUUUGAUCCUGGCUCAGAGCGAACGCUGGCGGCGUGCUUAACACAUGCAAGUCGAACGCGCAGUUUUCUGUAGCAAUACAGGAAAUGGGCGCGUGGCGAACGGGUGCGUAACACGUGGGCAACCUUCCCUUCGGUGGGGGAUACCCUCGCGAAAGCGAGACUAAUACCGCAUAACAUUCCCCUGGUUACGACUGGGGGAUUCAAAGCAGCAAUGCGCCGGAAGAGGGGCCCGCGGCCGAUUAGCUAGUUGGUGAGGUAACGGCUCACCAAGGCUUUGAUCGGUAACCGGUCUGAGAGGACGAUCGGUCACACUGGAACUGAGACACGGUCCAGACUCCUACGGGAGGCAGCAGUGAGGAAUAUUGCGCAAUGGGCGAAAGCCUGACGCAGCGACGCCGCGUGGGGGAUGAAGCUUUUCGGAGUGUAAACCCCUUUCGACCCGGACGAAAGCCCGCAAGGGCCUGACGGUACGGGUAUAAGAAGCCCCGGCUAACUACGUGCCAGCAGCCGCGGUAAAACGUAGGGGGCCAGCGUUGCUCGGAAUUACUGGGCGUAAAGGGUCUGUAGGCGGUGCGGCAAGUCGGAAGUGAAAUCUGAGGGCUCAACCCUUAGACUGCUCCCGAAACUGCCGUGCUAGAGUGCGAGAGAGGCGGGUGGAAUUGCAGGUGUAGCGGUGAAAUGCGUAGAUAUCUGCAGGAACAUCCGAGGCGAAAGCGGCCCGCUGGAUCGCAACUGACGCUGAGAGACGAAAGCUAGGGGAGCAAACAGGAUUAGAUACCCUGGUAGUCCUGGCCCUAAACGAUCAGGACUUGGCGUGGGCCCUGUACGGGGCUCGUGCCGUAGCUAACGCGAUAAGUCCUGCGCCUGGGGAGUACGGUCGCAAGGCUGAACUCAAAGGAAUUGACGGGGGCCCGCACAAGCGGUGAACAUGUGGUUCAAUUCGACGCAACGCGAAGAACCUUACCUGGGCUUGAAGUGCACCGGGACCAUCCUUGGAAACAGGGACUUC
rnacentral:rRNA from 1 species